CCUUUGCGUUAGGGAUUAAGUGGUUUGUUUGAGCUCUUUUUGUUUUUUUUUAAACAAAAAAGCGAGUAACGAAAGCCUGACUUGGU
rnacentral:sRNA from 1 species